UCUGAAGAGAUUUGAUAUAUUCACAGGAUAAAAACUGACCAAGAGGGUAACAUACCCAAAGAAGAUCGACAUCAGUCCGUACACCUCGAGUGGCAGUGAAGCCAUCAAAUACCAGUUAUAUGGUGUGCUCGUGCACAGUGGCUCAUCUUGCCAAAGUGGACACUACUAUGCCUAUGUACAGGCUAGUCACGGUUGGUACCUGAUGAAUGAUUCACAGGUAACCCCAUGU